rnacentral:rRNA from 1 species
ACUCCUCCGGGAGGCAGCAGUGGGGAAUAUUGCACAAUGGGCGCAAGCCUGAUGCAGCCAUGCCGCGUGUAUGAAGAAGGCCUUCGGGUUGUAAAGUACUUUCAGCAGUGAGGAAGGUGGAUAUGUUAAUAGCAUACUCAUUUGACGUUAGCUGCAGAAGAAGCACCGGCUAACUCCGUGCCAGCAGCCGCGGUAAUACGGAGGGUGCGAGCGUUAAUCGGAAUUACUGGGCGUAAAGCGCAUGCAGGUGGUUUGUUAAGUCAGAUGUGAAAGCCCGGGGCUCAACCUCGGAAUUGCAUUUGAAACUGGCAAACUAGAGUACUGUAGAGGGGGGUAGAAUUUCAGGUGUAGCGGUGAAAUGCGUAGAGAUCUGAAGGAUACCGGUGGCGAAGGCGGCCCCCUGGACAGAUACUGACACUCAGAUGCGAAAGCGUGGGGAGCAAACAGGAUUAGAUAACCUGGUAGGCUCUGC